rnacentral:tRNA from 1 species
UCCCUGGUGGCUCAGACAGUAAAGAAUCUGCCUGCAAUGCAGGAGACCCAGGUUUGAUCCCUGGGUCGGGAA